UGUCAGAGGAUCCGUCGCCAAUUUCAAAAAGAGAUCUGUGUCAAGAUCCUUUCUGUCCCCAAUGUUUAAUUGAUUUGACGUCUCCACGAACCUAGUUGAUGUGACGUGUCAACUUUAUGUCAACUCAACUUAGGAGAAGUUAUUACCCGCCCACUCUAUCGACGCGGCUGAUUGACACCUAUGAGCAGAUGUCUCACACCGUCAGAUGCAUACACAUAUCCCACAUCUAACAAUUCUCCUCAACUAUAAAUACCCAAGGUUUGACAAGAGGCAAAUGUAAUGAAACUCUUACAACUUAGCUCUCCAUAACAAAUAAAUAUAUAUUCUCCUCCCCACCCUUUUGCACAACUUUGGUACUGUUCCAAUUACUUGGGGCUAACUUGAUCGUCGGAAUGUAUGCAGUCGCCGCCAACCCCACUGGUCCCGACUGUGUGCAUCUGACCGUGCGUUGAUUGUGCGUAAGGAGAAAUACGUGGAGUAGCUAUCAGUUGGCCACGUGGAGGGUCCAAUUUGCGAGGUCAGCAGGUAGGCUACAUCUCAAACUUUCUCAAUGAUAGAAAAUGGAAAUUAGAUAUUAACAGAACUUCAAAU
rnacentral:lncRNA from 1 species